rnacentral:snoRNA from 1 species
GUGCAAUGACUGUAUUGGAUAAGUUUCGGCUGAAUCUGAUUGAUGACAACUUUAUAACUUGCUGAGCAC